rnacentral:rRNA from 1 species
UUCGGGCUUUGAGACCGGCGCACGGGUGCGUAACGCGUAUGCAAUCUGCCUUUCACAGAGGGAUAGCCCAGAGAAAUUUGGAUUAAUACCUCAUAGCAUUACAGGAUGGCAUCAUUUUGUAAUUAAAGUCACAACGGUGAAAGAUGAGCAUGCGUCCCAUUAGCUAGUUGGUAAGGUAACGGCUUACCAAGGCGACGAUGGGUAGGGGUCCUGAGAGGGAGAUCCCCCACACUGGUACUGAGACACGGACCAGACUCCUACGGGAGGCAGCAGUGAGGAAUAUUGGUCAAUGGACGCAAGUCUGAACCAGCCAUGCCGCGUGCAGGAUGACGGUCCUAUGGAUUGUAAACUGCUUUUGCACAGGAAGAAACACUCCGACGUGUCGGAGCUUGACGGUACUGUGAGAAUAAGGC